UACGAGGGGGGCGAGCGUUGUUCGGAAUUAUUGGGCGCAAAGGGUGCGUAGGCGGUUUGGUAAGUCUGAUGUGAAAUCUAUGGGCUCAACUCAUAGUCUGCAUCGGAAACUGCCGGGCUUGAGUAUGGGAGAGGUGAGUGGAAUUCCUGGUGUAGCGGUGAAAUGCGUAGAUAUCAGGAGGAACACCUGUGGCGAAAGCGGCUCACUGGACCAUAACUGACGCUGAUGCACGAAAGCUAGGGGAGCAAACGGG
rnacentral:rRNA from 1 species